rnacentral:rRNA from 1 species
GACGAACGCUGGCGGCGUGCUUAACACAUGCAAGUCGAACGGAGUGGCGCACGGGUGAGUAACGCGCAAUCAACCUGCCCUUCAGAGGGGGACAACAGUUGGAAACGACCGCUAAUACCGCAUACUGAUGGAGGGGAUUGCGUCUGAAUCGCUCGUCGGAGGGGUAACGGCCCACCAAGGCGAUGAGCAGUAGCCGGGCUGAGAGGAUGAGCGGCCACAUUGGGACUGAGACACGGCCCAGACUACUACGGGAGGCAGCAGUGGGGAAUCUUCCGCAAUGGACGAAAGGCUGACGGGGCAACACCGCGUGAGUGAUGACGGCCUUCGGGUUGUAAAGCUCUGUUAAUCGGGACGCGGUACCGGAAUAGAAAGCCACGGCUAACUACGUGCCAGCCGCCGCGGUAAUAC